ACCAGACACAUCAACAUUAAACCUAGCUCACAGUUAAAUGUUUUACAAUAUGUGUUAUCUUACAUUAACCAGCAGAGCAGUUUAUUUUUGAUACAGCAAUUUCACUAACAUAUCAAACACGUUAGUCUUGAUAAAACAGUGACUUAAAUCUGCAUCUUAUUGGACAAAAACAGCAACAAUUCUUCUUCUGCAGGUUUUCUGUGUUCUCCCUUAAAUCAGACAGUCACUUCUGACCUGUAUGCUCUUCCUGUUGAUUGCAUUUUGCACCAGUAAAUGUGCAUAAGAUACAGAAACAGGAACAGAGGCUGCAUGAGACAGAUAGAUGAACCGACUCAAUGAGGGUGUUGUUAAGCAUGGGUUUGCAUUAUGCUGCAAAUUACAGAGGAAAUCAGCAAAAAUUAAAGCUCUUGAAAAGCUACCCCUUUUUUAAAGAAACACUUACGGUUUAGAUUCAAACAUGACCCCAGUCUGAUACAUACAAAGAAAGCUGGUCAUAUAAUUUCACGAACCAGUCACUUUUUGGUAAAUUUUUCAGAUGAACAUGUUCCUCCAAAUGAGCACACGUUAUGACUAAUAACCACUGGCAAGGUUUUCUGUUUAUCAGUUUUAUUACAGCCGGUUUAUUUCACACCAGACCAAGACUGCAGAAUCUCUGAGUCCAUUUCAACAUGGCUGAAUCAUAUUAAACUUGACUGGAAAGUACAUUUUACAUUUGAAUUGCAGCUUGGAAGGUUCACAACUUUCUCUGUUUUUAAGCAACUUAUACGUGCGAUUUGGGGGUAUGCACGCAUCUCCCAAGCUGGAAUCCCUGUUGCACCUGUGGAUGUAUCAUUGUUAAUCAGCACUGUGCCUGUUCACAGAUUGUGGACUGUUUGUUUGAGCUGUUUAUAGCAGACACAUUUGCACAUAGCAGCUGCAGUGGCUAAAGCCUUUUAAUAAGUUAGGCCACUUGGAGUGCUCGGAGGCCUGGUGAGGGUGUGAUGAAGUUGUAUUCUUGGAAUGUAACCAGUGUGACCAGCCCAUGCUGGACACACCUCAUGGAUAAGCCACUGGAUCAGCUUCCUCCAUGCAGGAUGUGCUCCUAAAGGCACAAUGAGUAAGCAAAAUUACAGACAGGAAGCUUCUGCUUGCCCCAAACUGUUCCACACUCCAUAGGAUUGCAUUGCAUAUUUAAUGAGACUUCACCAAGACCUUGCAAAGACCCCCCACUUUAUAAUUGAUUUCUAAUGAUAUGGUGUAGCCUCAGUCAGCGGUGAAGGCAACAUUCAGAUCUACACAAACAGCUCCAGUCUCAGUGACAAACCUAAAACAGAGCAGGAGCUGGUCAUGUGACAGACCCAAACAGUGGUGGCUAAUAAAUUUUUACAUUCCUGUCUGCUGGACGCACAGAGGAACAAUAAAGUCAUGUUAUGAAGGCACACUAUGAUGGAGGAGCACACACAGCUCUGUGCAGGCUGGGCUAAUGACAUGCGGGUGACUGCCGCCUUCACCGUAUGACCAGCAAUAAGCAAAAAGCUCAGUUUCCUAAAACCAAAACACACACUGAGCUGCUCUAAAGUAAAGACGCACACAUACGAACCAUGUUUUUUUUUAAUCAUAUAUAUGCCUCAAAGUGUGGCAGGCAACAAAGCUGAAGUCAUAUUGUGUUGAUGAAGCAUUAAUGCUUGUGUUGCAAGUAUGUUAUAUUUUAAGAAACAAUUUAAACCAUUAAUUGUUUUCUACAGGAUGAAUAACACAACCAUUAAAAGUGUAAAAAAAAAAGAAAACAAGCACUCAUGUCACAUGUCCUCCAACAUGUGACCACAGACGUCACCACGCCUGUCCAACCUGCACUUUCCCUCAUGUUUACUCUGUGCAGCAACGUUUACACGCGCAGAUAAACCGAGCCUACUGUGACCCUGUGAGUUUCACCUCAUUUAGUAUUACAUGCUUUUAGUAAAGUUUGGUUUAUCUGAUUUAGAUAAAGUGACUUACAAAAUGUGAUUGCAAUAAGUCCAGUCUGAACUCAUCAGCUAAUGUGUGCUGACCUAAGCUCUUAUUUUUCUGACUUUCAGUGUAACCUGAUAGUUGUGAAGCUGUGACCUCUCGUGCUUGUUUGUUCACUGUUAAUAUUUUUCUUAAAAAGAAGAAGAAGAUAAACAAUACGUCCUUGGGUCUUCAGAUUGUUUCUUAGAUAAUUUAUUUUCAUUGUUAAGAUCUUCACACAGGAUUUAUGCGUAAACUAAUGCGAUUGUUAGAAAGAAGCGCGGCUGCAAACAGAAACCACACAGCAGCCAAUACCCAAAUUCUCUUCGCUGCACACAAGCUUUGUAUAUUCAAAUUCAUGAUAUGCAGUGUGUGCAUAUUAGUUACUAAAGCUCAUAUAUAGCUUUCAAAGUGUUAAAAGUAUGCUUCUCGAAAACAACUUUGAAACAGUUUUAAAGUUUUUGUAAACAGACUUUGUAAACAGCACUGGCGUCCCUCAGGGUUGUGUUUUCUCCCCACUCCUCUUCUCUUCACACAAAUGAUGGCACCUGAACCUUUCUCUGGAUCUGAGAUGGUUCUCUCACAUAGAUACUGGCUGGAAUAAGACCCAGAAGAAACUGUAGCUCCUGCAGCAACUCAAGAAGAACAACCUACCCAAGGAGCUGCUGGUCAUCUUCUACACCAUCAUUCAGUCCAUCCUGUGUUUGUCGAUCACUGUGUGGUUUGGCUCACUCACAAAACAAGACAGGACCAGACAAUAUGUCUGCACAGAAGGUCAUCAGUGCUGACUUUUCCCUUCACACGGAAUUUCUACAGUCCUAGGGUCAGGAAAAUGGCAACCAAUACAUCUGUAUACCCCACACAUCCUGGACACAGAGUGUUUGGACUCUAGAGAGCACUGCUUGCAAAAACAGGCUACCACUUAACACAAAUGACAUAAAGAUCGCAAAGCUGAUUUAUCAGGAAUAAUUGCUAU